GAAUUAUGUAGGUUGAAGGCUCCCAGUGGACAGACGGAAUAUAUAAGAAGGAAACCAGAGAUCUGGUGCUAUUACGUCCCUGACUCUAAGGGAACUAAUAAGCACAAAAUUAAAAGCAUUCUUCAGCCUGAAUUUUUAAGGGGUGCACUUAAGAACGAAGCAAGCUGAUUUAUGAUAACUAAGUUUUAAACUCGAACAACGAGUAAGUCUUCAAAAGGUGUAAAAAUUAGGAG
rnacentral:lncRNA from 1 species